UACGAAGGGGGCUAGCGUUGCUCGGAAUCACUGGGCGUAAAGCGCACGUAGGUGGGUCGUUAAGUCAGGGGUGAAAUCCUGGAGCUCAACUCCAGAACUGCCUUUGAUACUGGCGAUCUUCGAGUCCGGGAGAGGUGAGUGGAACUGCGAGUGUAGAGGUGAAAUUCGUAGAUAUUCGCAAGAACACCAGUGGCGAAGGCGGCUCACUGGCCCGGUACUGACGCUAAGGCGCGAAAGCGUGGGGAGCGAACAGG
rnacentral:rRNA from 1 species